rnacentral:rRNA from 1 species
GACGAACGCUGGCGGCGUGCUUAACACAUGCAAGUCGAACGAAGUGGCGAACGGGUGAGUAACGCGUAAUCAACUUGCCCUUCAGAGGGGGACAACAGUUGGAAACGACUGCUAAUACCGAAUACUGAAGGAGGGGAUUGCGUCUGAUUAGCUAGCUGGUGGGGCAACGGCCCACCAAGGCGAUGAUCAGUAGCCGGUCUGGGAGGAUGAACGGCCACAAUGGGACUGGGACACGGCCCAGACUCCUACGGGAGGCAGCAGUGGGGAAUCUUCCGCAAUGGACGAAAGUCUGACGGAGCAACGCCGCGUGAGUGAUGACGGCCUUCGGGUUGUAAAGCUCUGUUAAUCGGGACGCGGUACCGGAAUAGAAAGCCACGGCUAACUACGUGCCAGCCGCCGCGGUAAUAC